AAUGUUUGGAAGUUGUCAUCGUUUUCUGGUAGCAAAUCAAAUUUCUGUAAUUCAUCAAGUACGUCCGAUGGCUCUACUAUGUCCUUAGCCUCGCUAACCUGCUGAGAUGAAGAGCCGUUUUCAGUAUCGCUAAUUGGAGAUACAAAUUCAGACGUAGAUUGACUAUUCGUUUUUCCUUUCAGUGUGUUUUCUAUGAGAACAAUCGAUCUUUGAGCCAAUUUCCAAGUUUGAGAGCACUCUUUAAGAACUUCAAUGAAAAACAUCAUAUCGUUAUUCAAUGUCAAAAGCUCUGAAUCAGUACACAUAUCUCGAAGUAGUAGAAUCACACUGCAACUGACAAUCGCCGCAUACACUAUGUAUAGUGUCGAGUAUCGAAGGCCAUUUGCAGUACGGUGUGCUCGUAUAACAGUUACUAUUUCGUUGAUGGAAUCAGUACAUAUAGUUUUUGGUGUAAGAUCGUUAGCGGUCACUUCUUUCCU